rnacentral:lncRNA from 1 species
UAAAACAAAUAGACGACAUAAGUACAUCCUUAGAAUUAUUUUCUACAAAAACUAAUCAAAAUAAAGGUUGGAAAAUCUUGCCACAUCAAACAGUCAUGAGAUCACAACUUUAUUUAAUGCUUCUUAUCUGCUCAAAAUAAAGAUAAAGGGUGAGAAAUAAAUCUUAGUGACUCUCAGAGGACAAAAUAUAUUUGUAAUCGUAUCAUUAUAUAAUACAUUUAAUUAGAAAUUAGAUUGAACAUAAAAUAUGCUAUCACAUAAACAAGGUUCAAG